GAUGAACGCUGGCGGCGUGCCUAAUACAUGCAAGUCGAGCGAACAGACGAGGAGCUUGCUCCUCUGACGUUAGCGGCGGACGGGGGAGUAACACGUGGAUAACCUACCUAUAAGACUGGGAUAACUUCGGGAAACCGGAGCUAAUACCGGAUAAUAUAUUGAACCGCAUGGUUCAAUAGUGAAAGACGGUUUUGCUGUCACUUAUAGAUGGAUCCGCGCCGCAUUAGCUAGUUGGUAAGGUAACGGCUUACCAAGGCAACGAUGCGUAGCCGACCUGAGAGGGUGAUCGGCCACACUGGAACUGAGACACGGUCCAGACUCCUACGGGAGGCAGCAGUAGGGAAUAUUCCGCAAUGGGCGAAAGCCUGACGGAGCAACGCCGCGUGAGUGAUGAAGGUCUUCGGAUCGUAAAACUCUGUUAUUAGGGAAGAACAAAUGUGUAAGUAACUAUGAACGUCUUGACGGUACCUAAUCAGAAAGCCCCGGCUAACUACGUG
rnacentral:rRNA from 1 species